rnacentral:misc_RNA from 1 species
AUUGGCCUUGGGAUGCUUCAAGAAAAUUACGAUUUUGAAAGUAAGGCUCGAGUCUCUGAAUUCCAAGGAAAACCAUGCUUUCUUGAAGUUGAGUAGCAAAUUUUUGUUGCUAAAGCUGCAAAUUCCCAUAUCCGUCAUCGAUUGAAAAUGGUGGAAAAGCAAUACUCCCAUUUAGCCUUGUAUAUAUGUUGUAACCUACAUAAAAUGAUAAUAAAAGUAAUAUUCCCCUAAUUCUCUCUGGAACGUUUUGAAAUCAUAGGUCCUACUUCAGUUGCUGUAUCACUUGACCCAGAUAGAUUCUUGUCAAUGUCUUUCAAUUUUAACCGAACCUAGCGUAUCAAUACAUGUAUCUCUUCUUCAACCACCAAUUCUCUACUAAAAUCAAAUUACCUUUUUCUGACUUCAAGCACCCUCAACCUGCUUCUCUACUCCUUCCGGCUCUACAAGGCAGUCUCUAAGCUAAGUUCUCCAAUGGUAACCAGAAUUUCUAGGCAUGUUCCCCUGAUAAGGAGUUGCAUAAUUAUAAUACAAGUAGCCGAACUACAAGUUCAAAGGGGGGUAGCCACGCAAACUAUGAUGUCUGGCUGUUGUAUUCAAGUAAGGUGCACCAUGAACCAUAAACAGACUUGCUGGCUGCAGGAAACGAGAUUGCAUUGGAUGAAUAACACGACUAAUACUACCAAAGGCUUUUCGACACUUCCCUGAUAAUACAAAUGUUCAAGGUCUGCUAACCUGAUUUUCUGUUCCAGUCUUGGGAAUAGCUAAAGGUAAUGAAACAGUUGGGGAGAUGGAGGUGGCUGUGAUGGGACGAACAGUGCUAACAGCAGUUGCAAAGGAGGCGAAGGCAGAAGCAAUGCAGCAGUAGAGGCACCAGUUGGAGGACAGGCGGUUGUGAUGGGAUCUGUUAUGGCAGUGGCUGGAGAGGAGGAGGCGACUGUUUCAUGAGUGUUAGCAGGGGUAGCAGUGGAGUUAGCAAUUGGAGGAGAUGAUGUGGUAAUAGCAGAAGCAGCACCAACAAAUGUACUUAGAUCAUCAUAUUCAUUUACUGAGACAGCUAUCCGAGGAUGCUUCUUGCUAACCUGCUUAUCUGUUCCAGU